rnacentral:rRNA from 1 species
AGUGAACGCUGGCGGUAGGCCUAACACAUGCAAGUCGAACGGCAGCACAGUAAGAGCUUGCUCUUACGGGUGGCGAGUGGCGGACGGGUGAGGAAUACAUCGGAAUCUACUUUUUCGUGGGGGAUAACGUAGGGAAACUUACGCUAAUACCGCAUACGACCUACGGGUGAAAGCAGGGGAUCUUCGGACCUUGCGCGAUUGAAUGAGCCGAUGUCGGAUUAGCUAGUUGGCGGGGUAAAGGCCCACCAAGGCGACGGUCCGUAGCUGGUCUGAGAGGAUGAUCAGCCACACUGGAACUGAGACACGGUCCAGACUCCUACGGGAGGCAGCAGUGGGGAAUAUUGGACAAUGGGCGCAAGCCUGAUCCAGCUAUACCGCGUGGGUGAAGAAGGCCUUCGGGUUGUAAAGCCCUUUUGUUGGGAAAGAAAAGCAGUAGGUUAAUACCCCGCUGUUCUGACGGUACCCAAAGAAUAAGCACCGGCUAACUUCGUG